rnacentral:lncRNA from 1 species
GUUCAUUAUUAUCACUAGCUCAUUCUUGCAUAUUGUUCUUCAGUAGCUAAUAAAGAAUAAAUGAAACCUAGACCUCAGUAAUAAGGAGAAUGCGAAUACAAGUGAAUCUCAGGAUACUAAAAAAGAGAAAAAGCAUUUUUGUGGUAUUAAUUUCCAGUUCUACAACAGUUAUUACAUUUGUCACUGUGUCUCCCUUUUUUUGCCCUAAUUCUUCUAUGUAUGUUUACAGUAUGAGAAAAUGUGCCUUUUUUUUUUUUUGGUGGUCCUUUUAAAAAGACCUAAUGAAAUUACUACUCUUUUGCAAAAAAAUAUACACCCAUUGCUUAUAUGGGCAUACAAAUGCUACCCUAUUUUAAAUGUAGGUGGCGUAUGUGUUCGUGUUUUAAUGUAUUCAGAGCCAUUGGGCAAUAAGCAGUCCAGAACAUUGAAAACUCAAGCAGCAGAGAAAUAAACUGGUAGGUGGCAGCAGAAGAAAGAAUUCUUCAGAUUGAUGGCUACUGGCAGUCUGCAUAGGAGAAGAGAGAGAAGGUGACAUACCAUGUCCAGCAACAGGGCAGAAAUGGAAACAGGACUGCAAUUGCUGAUCUUGACUCUAAAAUGGUUCUUUUGGUCUCACAGAAUGGAUGAAGAUUGAUCUUGACUGGAUACUUUUUCAAAUGGAGGAUAGAAGUAACACAAAACAAGGCAACAGUAGCUCUCCAGUGUUUAGUUCAAUGUGCUUUAUUUCUAAAAUAAAAACACCAGAACUGGGAAUGAAACAG